AUGGCCUGCCAUCAAAGAUCUGCGAGUCUGCCUUUGAUCCCUCACUCCACUGAAUCGAAAGUGGAGGUGGAGCUGCAGGGCCUGCAGACACGCAUAUCCUCACCUUCCGCGACCAUCGACACGAUGUGCGGCGGUCUGAGGAGUCUCGGAGACAUCUACAGCUCCAUAGAAGAGAUCAUGAGCCUGCCCAGCAACCGAGUCCCCUUGCAAAGGAAGAUGGUCGAGGAAGUGCUUGACAGGUCACUUGUCCUGGUGGAUCUCUGCAAUGCCAUGCAGGAGAGCCUCGCAGAGCUGAAGGCGAGCAUCUAG
rnacentral:rRNA from 1 species